CUUAGUGGCGGACGGGUGAGUAACGCGUGGGUAACCUGCCUUACACUGGGGGAUAACACUUAGAAAUAGGCGCUAAUACCGCAUAAGCGCACGAAGCCGCAUGGAUUUGUGUGAAAAACUCCGGUGGUGUAAGAUGGACCCGCGUCUGAUUAGCUUGUUGGCGGGGUAACGGCCCACCAAGGCGACGAUCAGUAGCCGGCCUGAGAGGGUGGACGGCCACAUUGGGACUGAGACACGGCCCAAACUCCUACGGGAGGCAGCAG
rnacentral:rRNA from 1 species